rnacentral:lncRNA from 1 species
AAACAGGAAGGGCCCUCUUUUCCCCUUGGCUCCUGCUCCAGCGGCAUGAUGUGACCCACCAGCUAGGAGGGACACCAAUAAGGCGUCAGAUAAGAUAAGUCUCAUAAAAUAUAUAGAUGUAUGAUAAUUGAGACUGAGCUAACAGAUGAGAAUCCUAGUCAUUGGCCAAGCAGCAUUGUAACUAAUACAAGUCUCUCUGUGUAUUCAUUUGGGCUUAACUUGGGCAGGUGGCUGACAUAAAGCACACACGUGGCGGUGGGGCUCAGGCAGCUUUUGGUGGAAAGAUUUAUCGUAACAGACACAAGGUAGAGUCAUCUGAAAUAAGAGAACUUCAUUUGAGAAAAUGCCUCCAUAAGUUUGGGUUAUAUUCAGGACUUUAUGGCAUUUUCUCAAUUAGUGACAAAUACAGAGGGAUUCAGCUCAUUUUGGAUAGUGUCACCCAUGGACUGGUGCUUCUGGGUGCUAUGAGAAUCCAGGCUGAGCAAGCCUUGAGGAACAAGUCAGUAAGCAGCACUCCUCUACAGCCUCUGCAUCCAUGUCUGCCUCCAGGUUCCUAGCCUGUUUGAGUUCCUUCCCUGAGUUUCUUCAGUGUUGGACUAUAUUAUGGAAAUGUAAGCUGGAUUCCAGGAGUUCUGCUCAGUGCUUGGCUGUGAAUUUCUGCUUCUGCUUCCAACAGCUACUGGAUGAAGACUCUAGAAAGGUGAAAGCUGGAACAGACAAUACUAUUCUGAAUCAUUGAGGUUUACAUUGUGCAACUCCCUGCUAGAGCCUUCAGAUUUAAACUGCCAUGAGAAACAUCUGUUGAGUAUCUUGUCUACCCUCCUGAAACCCACUACUUCCCAAGCAUAAUAGCUACAGUAAUGUGGCAACCUGAAUUUCAGAAACAUUGCACCAUCUGGUUCUUGACCGCACAAACAGAGCAGCCAUGUGAUCUCGCAAGAGAAGACCCCUGCAGUUGGCAUCCAAUAAGAGGGUUUUUCUACAUAACCGUGGAUGACUUGGAACUCACUAUGUACACCAGGCUGGCCUUGAACUCACAAAGAACCAUGUGCCUCUUCCUCUCAAAUGCUAGGAUUAAAAGCAUGCACCAUCAUGCCUGGCUAUUUUUAAUAUUUUAAAAGCCUCAAUAAAUAAAUAAAUAAAACCUCCACAGUGAUUUCUAUAGUGGCUGUAUCAGGUUAUACUCCCAUCAACAGAGAAUCAGAGUUGUUCUUUUCCCAAAUUCUUGCCAGUUUUAUUUCCUUGAUGAUAGCCAUUCUAAGUAGAGUAAGACAGAACUUCAAAGUCAUUUUAAUUUCCAUUUCCCAAAUGGCUAAAAAUGUUGGACACUUUUAAAAAUAUGUUUUGGCCACUUCUAUUUCUUCUUUGGGAAGCUGUUCAAUUCAUUGGCUCCUGUAUUUGGUUGGCAGCUUUGUUUCUUUGGUGGCUAGUCUUUGAAGUUCUUUAUAUCUUCUACAAAGAGUCCCUGGUCUCCAAUAUACCUGGCCAAGGGUCUAGCCUGUCCUGAAGUCUGCCUGUUUAUUCUGCU